AAGCGCUUGCAGCCAGACUUGCCUGUAGUUGCUCAGCCGGGCUCCGGCCCGGUGCACUCUUCUGCGGGCAGGCCAGCAUCAGUUCGGGCGGCCGGAUAAAGACCUCUGUCACGUACCUCCCUCCGGGGAGGACUUAUAGGGGAGGUGAAAUGCGGCCAGUCCGGACUGAGGUCCGCGCAUCUGCUAGGAUGCUGGCGUAAUGGCUGUAAGCGG
rnacentral:rRNA from 1 species